AAAAUUGCUCAAAAUUAACUGGACUGGACUGGUCAGGUCGGUAUUUGGAUUAUUGUUAAAAUAAAACUUGUGAAAUUUUCCAACAAAUUGUCUAUAGUAAUUUAUGUUUGGGCAGUAUGCGGUAAUUGUAAAAAAGUUACGUUAUCCCCAACAAAAAACCAAUAAAAAAAAUAAUAACAAAUCAAGCAAGCAAGCAACCAACCAACCAACAACAACUAUCCAACCUCCAAUGCAACAUCAUACAACUUUUACUCACUCGACCAACAAAAUGCAUUAAAUUAAACACGGAUAUUUUUGAGUUGUUGUUGCUGCUUUUCUUUUUGUUUUUGCAUUUCAACUGCAAACGAUCAAACAGCUCGAAACAAGACGUCGAGUUUGGCUGCAACGAAAGUUGUUCGUUGUUUUUGUUUUGUUCAUACAACCAACGAUUACGACGAUGAUAAUUAUGAUUACGUUCGUUUGUUCGCUCGUUCAUUGAUACAUCAUACUUGCUCUCAUACCAAGGUCAAUAAACGUAAGAUUGCACGCGAUAUCAAUACAACAACCAUAACAACAAUAAUAACAAUAAUAACAACAACUAUAUAAUAAAUAUAAAAAAACCGGGGUCAACGGUAGGAAGGAGUAUACGAUCGUACCGUUCGUAUACGUUCACUCACUCUGCUUUUUUUUUGUUUUUUUGUAUGAAAUAAUGAAAAUAAAAUGUGAAAUUAUUCAAUACAAUACAAUACAAUAAUAACAACAACAAAAAUAUGAAAAUUUAAAUUGAAAAAAAGAAAGAAAAUUACAACAACUAACCGAAAAUAUUGUACAUAUGUAUAUUUUGUAACAAAAAUACAAGUAUAAAAUCUUAAUAAUCAUUUCAAUUAAACCAGUGAUUUAUAAGUGGAUUAAUAAAAAAUUCAAAUAACUAAAAAAAAAAAAACGAAAUAUGUAAUUCAAACACUUACUCACUCCUCCAAAGAAAAUUAAAACAAAAUCACCACAAUUUCUUCAAUACCUGACGACUGAAAUUGUUGACAACGUCGAAAAAGAAAAAAAAAAAUAAAAGAAAACCAGAGGUUGUCAACACUAAAUCUUUGUUAUUUCACACAUCAUGCUUUUUAUGUAUUAAGGAUUUCAAUGAGUAGUAAGAGAACACAUGACUUAAUUCGAUGCAUGAUUAUUCAAAUAGAUAUAAAUGCGUCCCCAAAGACAACGUGUGGGAUUUGUUGAUAUUAAGGCCAAUAAGACACCAUUCAUUAAGCGAAUACGUUGCAAAAUUAAAUCCUUAAAUCCAUGCACAACCUUAACUAUAAAAUGAUAAAAACCUGAAAUUCGCGUGCCUUAAACGCGAGUGUAAUGCAGAACGCAAUUUAAAUGAAAAAAAUGAAAAAAAAAUAAAAUAAAAAAUAAAAA